rnacentral:rRNA from 1 species
GACAGAGGUCCCGAGCGUUAGUCGGAAUCACUGGGCUUAAAGCGUGUGUAGGCGGAUUUGUAAGUACCUUGUGAAAUCCCACAGCUUAACUGUGGAACUGCUUGGUAUACUGCUUAUCUUGGGCCACUUAGGGGUUACCGGAACAAACGGUGGAGCGGUGAAAUGCGUAGGUAUCGUGUGGAACGCCAAUGGUGAAAACAGGUAACUGGGAGUGUGCCGACGCUGAGAUACGAAAGCCAGGGGAGCGAACGGG